GAUGAACGCUGGCGGCGUGCCUAAUACAUGCAAGUCGAGCGAAUGGAUUGAGAGCUUGCUCUUAUGAAGUUAGCGGCGGACGGGUGAGUAACACGUGGGUAACCUGCCCAUAAGACUGGGAUAACUCCGGGAAACCGGGGCUAAUACCGGAUAACAUUUUGAACCGCAUGGUUCGAAAUUGAAAGUCGGCUUCGGCUGUCACUUAUGGAUGGACCCGCGUCGCAUUAGCUAGUUGGUGAGGUAACGGCUCACCAAGGCAACGAUGCGUAGCCGACCUGAGAGGGUGAUCGGCCACACUGGGACUGAGACACGGCCCAGACUCCUACGGGAGGCAGCAGUAGGGAAUCUUCCGCAAUGGACGAAAGUCUGACGGAGCAACGCCGCGUGAGUGAUGAAGGCUUUCGGGUCGUAAAACUCUGUUGUUAGGGAAGAACAAGUACUAGUUGAAUAAGCUGGCACCUUGACGGUACCUAACCAGAAAGCCACGGCUAACUACGUGCCAGCCGCCGCAGUAA
rnacentral:rRNA from 1 species